rnacentral:rRNA from 1 species
UGCAGAAUCCCGUGAACCAUCGAGUCUUUGAACGCAAGUUGCGCCCGAAGCCAUUAGGCCGAGGGCAUGCCUGCCUGGGUGUCACACAUCGUUACCCCCACGCACAGGUGCGCUGCUGGCCUGUGCGUGUAGUGUAUGCUGGCCUCCCGCGAGCGGUGCCUCGUGGUUGGUUGAAAUUCGAGUCCGCGGUGGGGUGCGCCGCGAUAAAAUGGUGGACGGGCAAUGCCCGAGACCAAGCACGCGUGAUCCUGUUCGGUGUGACCCUUGGACCCCUGCGGCGUCUUCGGAUGCUCUUUGCGAGACCUCAGGUCAGGCGGGGCUACCCGCUGAGUUUAA